ensembl:lncRNA novel transcript
AGGGGGCAGGUUCGGAGAGGAGCUGGGUUCAGAGGAGCAGGCCUGGGGGGUCAGCAGCUACUGCCCUGCCUUGGGUGGGGCCAAGGGGCGCGAUUUGGGAGGGCGGGGAUCGGAGGAUGCUUCGGAGGAUGCUUCGAAGGAUCCUUGGGGUUAUCCUAGAAUAUUCCUUGAGGGUUAUCGCAGUAGGUGAGGGCCAGAUUAGUUGAGUGUGCGUAGCUGGAUCCCCGUUCUGGUCGGCGGGGCCUUGAGGGUCCUUUCCGAGGGCUUGAGGCCUGGAGAGUGCUGGGGGCGAGCACGCAGCGAAGGGGCAGGCCUGAAAUGUGAGUCAUGGGGAUGGAGCCUAUAGGCCCAUGGGGGCGGGGCUUGCGAUGUCAGGAAUGGGAUGACGGUUAGAGGCUGAUUAAAGGGUGUGCUCUGGAAGGUU